GCGUACCUUUUGUAUAAUGGGUCAGCGACUUAUAUUCUGUAGCAAGGUUAACCGAAUAGGGGAGCCGGAGGGAAACCGAGUCUUAAUUGGGCGUUAAGUUGCAGGGUAUAGACCCGAAACCCGGUGAUCUAGCCAUGGGCAGGUUGAAGGUUGGGUAACACUAACUGGAGGACCGAACCGACUAAUGUUGAAAAAUUAGCGGAUGACCUGUGGCUGGGGGUGAAAGGCCAAUCAAACCGGGAGAUAGCUGGUUCUCCCCGAAAGCUAUUUAGGUAGCGCCUCGUGAAUUCAUCUCCGGGGGUAGAGCACUGUUUCGGCUAGGGGGCCAUCCCGGCUUACCAACCCGAUGCAAACUGCGAAUACCGGAGAAUGUUAUCACGGGAGACACACGGCGGGUGCUAACGUCCGUCGUGAAGAGGGAAACAACCCAGACCGCCAGCUAAGGUCCCAAAGUCAUGGUUAAGUGGGAAACGAUGUGGGAAGGCCCAGACAGCCAGGAUGUUGGCUUAGAAGCAGCCAUCAUUUAAAGAAAGCGUAAUAGCUCACUGGUCGAGUCGGCCUGCGCGGAAGAUGUAACGGGGCUAAACCAUGCACCGAAGCUGCGGCAGCGACACUCAGGUGUUGUUGGGUAGGGGAGCGUUCUGUAAGCCUGCGAAGGUGGCCUGUGAGGGUUGCUGGAGGUAUCAGAAGUGCGAAUGCUGACAUAAGUAACGAUAAAGCGGGUGAAAAGCCCGCUCGCCGGAAGACCAAGGGUUCCUGUCCAACGUUAAUCGGGGCAGGGUGAGUCGACCCCUAAGGCGAGGCCGAAAGGCGUAGUCGAUGGGAAACGGGUUAAUAUUCCCGUACUUGGUGUUACUGCGAAGGGGGGACGGAGAAGGCUAUGUUGGCCGGGCGACGGUUGUCCCGGUUUAAGCGUGUAGGUGUGUGUUCCAGGUAAAUCCGGUUCACUUUAACACUGAGGCGUGAUGACGAGGCACUACGGUGCUGAAGCAACAAAUGCCCUGCUUCCAGGAAAAGCCUCUAAGCAUCAGGUAACAUCAAAUCGUACCCCAAACCGACACAGGUGGUCAGGUAGAGAAUACCAAGGCGCUUGAGAGAACUCGGGUGAAGGAACUAGGCAAAAUGGUGCCGUAACUUCGGGAGAAGGCACGCUGACACGUAGGUGAAGUGAUUUACUCAUGGAGCUGAAGUCAGUCGAAGAUACCAGCUGGCUGCAACUGUUUAUUAAAAACACAGCACUGUGCAAACACGAAAGUGGACGUAUACGGUGUGACGCCUGCCCGGUGCCGGAAGGUUAAUUGAUGGGGUCAGCGCAAGCGAAGCUCCUGAUCGAAGCCCCGGUAAACGGCGGCCGUAACUAUAACGGUCCUAAGGUAGCGAAAUUCCUUGUCGGGUAAGUUCCGACCUGCACGAAUGGCGUAAUGAUGGCCAGGCUGUCUCCACCCGAGACUCAGUGAAAUUGAACUCGCUGUGAAGAUGCAGUGUACCCGCGGCAAGACGGAAAGACCCCGUGAACCUUUACUAUAGCUUGACACUGAACAUUGAGCCUUGAUGUGUAGGAUAGGUGGGAGGCUUUGAAGUGUGGACGCCAGUCUGCAUGGAGCCGACCUUGAAAUACCACCCUUUAAUGUUUGAUGUUCUAACGUGGACCCGUAAUCCGGGUUGCGGACAGUGUCUGGUGGGUAGUUUGACUGGGGCGGUCUCCUCCUAAAGAGUAACGGAGGAGCACGAAGGUUGGCUAAUCCUGGUCGGACAUCAGGAGGUUAGUGCAAUGGCAUAAGCCAGCUUGACUGCGAGCGUGACGGCGCGAGCAGGUGCGAAAGCAGGUCAUAGUGAUCCGGUGGUUCUGAAUGGAAGGGCCAUCGCUCAACGGAUAAAAGGUACUCCGGGGAUAACAGGCUGAUACCGCCCAAGAGUUCAUAUCGACGGCGGUGUUUGGCACCUCGAUGUCGGCUCAUCACAUCCUGGGGCUGAAGUAGGUCCCAAGGGUAUGGCUGUUCGCCAUUUAAAGUGGUACGCGAGCUGGGUUUAGAACGUCGUGAGACAGUUCGGUCCCUAUCUGCCGUGGGCGCUGGAGAACUGAGGGGGGCUGCUCCUAGUACGAGAGGACCGGAGUGGACGCAUCACUGGUGUUCGGGUUGUCAUGCCAAUGGCACUGCCCGGUAGCUAAAUGCGGAAGAGAUAAGUGCUGAAAGCAUCUAAGCACGAAACUUGCCCCGAGAUGAGUUCUCCCUGAGACUUUAGGUCUCCUGAAGGAACGUUGAAGACGACGACGUUGAUAGGCCGGGUGUGUAAGCGCAGCGAUGCGUUGAGCUAACCGGUACUAAUGAACCGUGAGGCUUAACCUUACAACGCCGAAG
rnacentral:rRNA from 1 species